rnacentral:rRNA from 1 species
UUGGGAUAAGCCUGGGAAACUGGGUCUAAUACCGGAUAGGACCAUGGCCUUCAUGGGUUGUGGUGGAAAGCUUUUGCGGUGUGGGAUGGGCCCGCGGCCUAUCAGCUUGUUGGUGGGGUAAUGGCCUACCAAGGCGACGACGGGUAGCCGGCCUGAGAGGGUGACCGGCCACACUGGGACUGAGAUACGGCCCAGACUCCUACGGGAGGCAGCAGUGGGGAAUAUUGCACAAUGGGCGCAAGCCUGAUGCAGCGACGCCGCGUGAGGGAUGACGGCCUUCGGGUUGUAAACCUCUUUCAGCAGGGACGAAGCGAAAGUGACGGUACCUGUAGAAGAAGGACCGGCCAACUACGUGCCAGCAGCCGCGGUAAUACGUAGGGUCCGAGCGUUGUCCGGAAUUACUGGGCGUAAAGAGCUCGUAGGUGGUUUGUCGCGUUGUUCGUGAAAACUCACAGCUUAACUGUGGGCGUGCGGGCGAUACGGGCAGACUGGAGUACUGCAGGGGAGACUGGAAUUCCUGGUGUAGCGGUGGAAUGCGCAGAUAUCAGGAGGAACACCGGUGGCGAAGGCGGGUCUCUGGGCAGUAACUGACGCUGAGGAGCGAAAGCGUGGGGAGCGAACAGGAUUAGAUACCCUGGUAGUCCACGCCGUAAACGGUGGGUACUAGGUGUGGGUUUCCUUCCUUGGGAUCCGUGCCGUAGCUAACGCAUUAAGUACCCCGCCUGGGGAGUACGGCCGCAAGGCUAAAACU